CCCGGGUCGUCUCGGCGCGGUUCCGAGCGGUCGCUCCCUCGCGAGGUGCCGCGGGUCAGCGGCUGACGCCAGCCACCUUCCCGACCCGUCUUGAAACACGGACCAAGGAGUCUAACAUGUGCGCGAGCCGCGGGGCAGUACGAAACCCGUAAGGCGAAAUGAAGGUGAACGCCGGCGCGGUCCGGCGGAGGUUGGAUCCCGUCCCGUCGGGGCGGGCGCACUACCGGCCGAUCUUCUCCGCCCUGUCGGCGAGGUCGAGCGAGAGCGUGCAAGUCGGGACCCGAAAGAUGGUGAACUAUGCCUGAGGAGGUUGAAGCCAGAGGAAACUCUGGUGGAGGACCGUAGCGAUUCUGACGUGCAAAUCGAUCGUCAAAUUUGGGUAUAGGGGCGAAAGACUAAUCGAACCGUCUAGUAGCUGGUUCCCUUCGAAGUUUCCCUCAGGAUAGCUGGCGCUCUGUCGCAGUUUUAUCUGGUAAAGCGAAUGAUUAGAGGUCUUGGGGGCGAAACGCCCUCAACCUAUUCUCAAACUUUAAAUUGGUAAGAAGCCCGACUCGCUCGUUUGGAGCCGGGCAUGGAAUGCGAGUGCCAAGUGGGCCACUCUUGGUAAGCAGGACUGGCGAUGCGGGAUGAACCGAACGCCGGGUUAAGGCGCCCGACGCGACGCUCAUAA
rnacentral:ncRNA from 1 species